rnacentral:rRNA from 1 species
GAAAGCUUACUUUUCGGAUCAGUGGCGAACGGGUGAGUAACACGUGAGUAACCUGCCCUUGACUCUGGGAUAACUGCUAGAAAUGGUAGCUAAUACCGGAUACGACCCUCGGCCGCAUGGUCAGGGGGUGGAAAGAAUUUUGGUCAAGGAUGGACUCGCGGCCUAUCAGGUAGUUGGUGAGGUAAUGGCUCACCAAGCCUACGACGGGUAGCCGGCCUGAGAGGGUGACCGGCCACACUGGGACUGAGACACGGCCCAGACUCCUACGGGAGGCAGCAGUGGGGAAUAUUGCACAAUGGGCGAAAGCCUGAUGCAGCAACGCCGCGUGAGGGACGACGGCCUUCGGGUUGUAAACCUCUUUUAGUAGGGAAGAAGCGAAAGUGACGGUACCUGCAGAAAAAGCACCGGCUAACUACGUGCCAGCAGCCGCGGUAAUACGUAGGGUGCAAGCGUUGUCCGGAAUUAUUGGGCGUAAAGAGCUCGUAGGCGGUUUGUCGCGUCUGCUGUGAAAUCCGGAGGCUCAACCUCCGGCCUGCAGUGGGUACGGGCAGACUAGAGUGCGGUAGGGGAGAUUGGAAUUCCUGGUGUAGCGGUGGAAUGCGCAGAUAUCAGGAGGAACACCAAUGGCGAAGGCAGAUCUCUGGGCCGUAACUGACGCUGAGGAGCGAAAGCAUGGGGAGCGAACAGGAUUAGAUACCCUGGUAGUCCAUGCCGUAAACGUUGGGAACUAGAUGUGGGGGCCAUUCCACGGUCUCCGUGUCGCAGCU